AAGGAACUAAAUAGGAUUCCCUUAGUAAUGGCGAACGAAGGGGGAACAGCUUGGGUUGGAAACUAAGGCUUCGGUCUUGGGUUGUGACCUGCAGACACAGCACCAACAGCGGCGCAAGCGUAAGCCUCUUGGAAAAGAGCAUUCACUCGGGUGAGAAUCCUGUGCGUCGCUUGACGUCCGCUGCGUACGGUGCGUGCUCUUAAAGUCACGCUCCUUGGAAUUGGAGCGUAAAUUAGGUGGUAAAUUUCAUCUACAGCGAAAUAUAAGCUCGAGACCGAUAGCAAACAAGUACCAUGAGGGAAAGAUGAAAAGGACUUUGGAAAGAGAGUUAAAAGUGCUUGAAAUCGCUGAAGGGGAAGCGAAUGGAACCAAGACCCUGGCUGAGAUUGCUGUGAGUUUUCAUUAGCCUUGUGCGUGAAUGCGUAAGCUUUUCGCACAUCCGUGAAGGAAUGCUCGCGGUGUUUCUCAGCUUGCUCGUCAGCUGCRACGYUCGCUUGAGGAUGGCCCUKGUCGCRCGCGGCUCUUCUGCGGAAUUGCUUYGGCGMCUCUGGGGAUUCAGGCGAGCGUGUCUUGCUGAUUAAAUGGUUCUCUUCGACCCG
rnacentral:rRNA from 1 species